rnacentral:rRNA from 1 species
UGGGGAAUAUUGCACAAUGGGCGAAAGCCUGAUGCAGCAACGCCGCGUGAGUGAUGAAGGCCUUCGGGUUGUAAAGCUCUGUCUUUUGGGACGAUAAUGACGGUACCAAAGGAGGAAGCCACGGCUAACUACGUGCCAGCAGCCGCGGUAAUACGUAGGUGGCAAGCGUUGUCCGGAUUUUACUGGGCGUAAAGGAUGCGUAGGCGGAUUUUUAAGUGAGAUGUGAAAUACCCGGGCUUAACUUGGGUGCUGCAUUUCAAACUGGGAAUCUAGAGUGCGGGAGAGGAGAAUGGAAUUCCUAGUGUAGCGGUGAAAUGCGUAGAGAUUAGGAAGAACACCAGUGGCGAAGGCGAUUCUCUGGACCGUAACUGACGCUGAGGCAUGAAAGCGUGGGUAGCAAACAGGAUUAGAUACCCUGGUAGUCCACGCCGUAAACGAUGAGUACUAGGUGUAGGAGGUAUCGACCCCUUCUGUGCCGCAGUUAACACAAUAAGUACUCCGCCUGGGAAGUACGAUCGCAAGAUU